rnacentral:rRNA from 1 species
GACGAACGCUGGCGGCGUGCUUAACACAUGCAAGUCGAACGGAAAGGCCCCCUUGUGGGGUACUCGAGUGGCGAACGGGUGAGUAACACGUGAGUAACCUACCCUUGACUUUGGGAUAACUUCAGGAAACUGGGGCUAAUACCGGAUAGGAGCUCCUGCUGCAUGGUGGGGGUUGGAAAGUUUCGGCGGUUGGGGAUGGACUCGCGGCUUAUCAGCUUGUUGGUGGGGUAGUGGCUCACCAAGGCUUUGACGGGUAGCCGGCCUGAGAGGGUGACCGGCCACAUUGGGACUGAGAUACGGCCCAGACUCCUACGGGAGGCAACAGUGGGGAAUAUUGCACAAUGGGCGGAAGCCUGAUGCAGCAACGCCGCGUGCGGGAGGACGGCCUUCGGGUUGUAAACCGCUUUCGCCUGUGACGAAGCGUGAGUGACGGUAAUGGGGAAAGAAGCACCGGCUAACUACGU